rnacentral:rRNA from 1 species
GAUGAACGCUGGCGGCGUGCCUAAUACAUGCAAGUCGAGCGAACGGACGAGAAUCUUGCUUCUCUGAUGUUAGCGGCGGACGGGUGAUUAACACGUGCAUAACCUACCUAUAAGACUGGGAUAACUUCGGGAAACCGGAGCUAAUACCGGAUAAUAUUUUGAACCGCAUGGUUCAAAAGUGAAAGACGUUCUUUCUGUCACUUAUAGAUGGAUCCUCGCUGCAUUAGCUAGUUGGUAAGGUAACGGCUUACCAAGGCAACGAUGCAUAGCCGACCUGAGAGGGUGAUCGGCCACACUGGAACUGAGACACGGUCCAGACUCCUAAGGGAGGCAGCAGUAGGGAAUCUUCGGCAAUGGGCGAAAGCCUGACGGAGCAACGCCGCGUGAGUGAUGAAGGUCUUCGGAUCGUAAAACUCUGUUAUUAGGGAAGAACAUAUGUGUAAGAAACUGUGCACAGCUUGACGGUACCUAAUCAGAAAGCAACGGCUAACUACGUG